rnacentral:rRNA from 1 species
AUUGAACGCUGGCGGCAUGCCUUACACAUGCAAGUCGAACGGCAGCACGGGAGCAAUCCUGGUGGCGAGUGGCGAACGGGUGAGUAAAGUAUCGGAACGUGCCCAGUCGUGGGGGAUAACGCAGCGAAAGUUACGCUAAUACCGCAUACGAUCUAUGGAUGAAAGCGGGGGAUCGCAAGACCUCGCGCGAUUGGAGCGGCCGAUAUCAGAUUAGGUAGUUGGUGGGGUAAAGGCUCACCAAGCCGACGAUCUGUAGCUGGUCUGAGAGGACGACAAGCCACACUGGGACUGAGACACGGCCCAGACUCCUACGGGAGGCAGCAGUGGGGAUUUUUGGACAAUGGGCGCAAGCCUGAUCCAGCCAUGCCGCGUGCAGGAUGAAGGCCUUCGGGUUGUAAACUGCUUUUGUACGGAACGAAAAGGUUUGGCUUAAUACGUUGAACUCAUGACGGUACCGUAAGAAUAAGCACCGGCUAACUACGUGCCAGCAGCCGCCGUAA